AUUUUGGGAGCUCAUGAUUUGGAUCCUAUACACCCAGGUUAAUGUUUUUCUGAUCAGUCCUAUUUUUAUUCAACUUUUUAAACUUCUGUAACAUUGCAAUGAAGAUUUACCUACAGCAAGCUACAAGGCCUUUGCAAUUGUGUUCUGUGUGCACACCUGUGUUAUAUUUUGUAUGUCUAUAUGUGUGCACAUCGAUAUAUCAUGUACAUGAUAUCCAAAUUGGCAGAUAUACAAUGAGUGCUCAUAAAUUAAUAGAAAUGGAUCCUUUAAUUCACAUGAUUUAAGAAGGUUCAAUCUCAAUUGCGUAAAGAGAUGAAAGUAAAGAUGUCUUUAGGAUUAUUUACCUCACAAGUCUCUCCAGGUGGUCAAAGAACUAUUAACUCUUGAUGUCUAUAGAAUGUCUAAUAUCCAUUGUUUCUAGGACUUUUCUUCAACAAGGGAGAAAUGGCUAAUACUGUUCAAUACGCUUGUCUGAUAUCUUCAUAAAAAUAAGUGUAUUAGAUUUGACAUGG
rnacentral:lncRNA from 1 species